rnacentral:antisense_RNA from 1 species
CUUGAUCGAGCCCAGCCACAGCGGCUUUUCCCGCCCCUGGCCGUACGUCGCGAGCAGCGCCUGCGCCUC